AACUCACUCAACCUGGGUGUGAUGCUUGCCCGUGAAAUUGAACAGGGCCCUUGCGGUCAUCACAACCUUUUUGAGUGAGCGA
rnacentral:pre_miRNA from 12 species